GUAGUAACGUACACACCUACUAGUACUAAUAUAACUACUGACUUUUGCAGAUACAUAAUAGUCUCUAGCGGACAAGACCAGUCCGGACCUACUAGUAUGGGGUUGUGUCUUUACAGCCUCCAUCAGGUUACAGACAGGGCCGGCCAGCAGGUGGCGCUGCAAGUCAAUAAGGAACUGCUGCUGGUAGCAAGAGAACAAUAGUACCCAUGCCGCAACCUGUCGUUUUAGAGAGAGCGGGAUGUCUGUAGAGCACACUUGCCUGGUUCCCAUGGUGCCUCCCCCAUGCUCCGCCCGGAGUGCUCACAUCGGUACAGGCGCUUCGACUCUCGCCUGGCUGACGACGGUUUCCAAACUGCGCACAACCGUUUUUAGGCACGCGUAACUCCUCCUGGCAUCAGCGGAUCACGUGACUGCCUGCGGACGGGCGCUCUGCGCGAGAACCGCGUGGGCCUCUGUGGGAGAUCUGGGAGGAAGGACCCCAGACGGAGAUGGCGUAUAGGGAGGGCACUGGAGAAAGCAUGAGUUGUUGGUUCACUGAUGAGCAUGCAGAUCAAUGGUGUAUCCUGUUAUGGUAAUGGAUAAGAAAGGCGUUUCAGCAUAGGUGAUGGCAACCAUAAAUUAAGAGGGAAAUCCAGAAGCAGAGCUUUCUGUCCCUCCUGGAGAGGGUCAUGUUGGGAGGCUGACGUCACUGCCUGGCCAGGAGACCCAUAGAAAGCAGAGUGAGAGGGGAGGAGAAUGGGCAGAAGGGAGAGGAAGACAGACUUGUGUUUUGGAGAACAGUGCAUGGAUUCCUAAACAUUACAACACUUUUGAUUUCUUCACUAUAUUAACUCUUAAAUUGGACUUGCAGUUAGGGUUCAUUCAUUCUCAGUUCACCGUCAUAUGGUCAUUACACUAUUGCCAUGCUGGAGAUAUAUUGAGAUAGAAUGACGUUAUGUUUGGAUUAUUUCCAGGACGCACUGAUUUCUACAUUUAUUAACACUUUGUUGAAUUGUUCUGUAUUUCAUCAGCAUAAUUCAAUAGUACAUCGGGGGUCAUUCCGAGUUGAUCGUAGCUGUGCUAAAUGUAGCACAGCUACGAUCAUCCUCCCUGACAUGUGGGGGGACGCCCAGCACAGGGCUAGUCCGCCCCGCAUGUCAGUCCGGCCCCCCACAACUACAAAAGCAUCGCACAGCAGCGAUGCUUUUGUAUUUGUGGAGUAACUCCCGGCCAGCGCAGCUCCUGCGGCUGGCCGGGAGUUGACGUCACGCAGCUGCCGUGGCCCGCCACCCCCCCCCCCCCCCCCCCCAACAGUCCGGCCACGCCUGCGUUGCCCGGACCGGGCCCCCUAAACGCCCCUUAACGCCGCCGUCCAGCCUCCUCCCGCACUGCGACCGUCUCUGCCUGUCAAACAGGCAAAGACAAUCGCUACUGAACGACGGCCUUCGGCCAUCCGGCAUGCGCCGGCGCAUGCGCAAUUCUGGCCCAAACGCUGUGCUGCGAUAAACUGCAGUGAGCGAUCGGGUCGCAAUGACCCCCAUUAUGCAUAUACAUGUACUGCAUCUGUGGUAAAAAUGGUUUUAAUAGUAGGUCCCUAAUCCUUCUAUUGAUGUUUCUACUGUAUUGUCUGCAUUUUUUUAUGCAAGUAAAUUCUAUUGAGGUUUUAAUAUACAAACAAGUAGCAUAACCCCAUGUUGUGAACAUAGGUAUCCAGAACAGGUGACAAAUAUAAAACAUGAAAACUAAUACAUUUCACUGCAAAUAUGGCUUAAAAAAAGUUCAAAUCAGAAUAUGGAGACAGUGAUGUCAAAAGACUUUAGUCACAGAAGGAGACUGACAAAUAUAAACCGUACAAUUAUGCAUAAAUUUAAACAUGGCGUACCACAAAAGUAAAUUAAACACAUAACAUGAAAGGAAAGAAAGAAAGUAAAUAAAAGAAGAAAAGCAGCUAAGACGAAGAGAGGAAAGAGAAGGAAAGAAAGGCAUGUGGAUAUCCACUGGGGACCCAGUGACCUGUCAAAUCAGAAAGGAGAUGUAAAUUAUGAAGCUCCCAUCAGGAAUUUGUAAUGAGCAGAUUCACAGAAUUCCAGAUACCAAGACCACACCCUUGAGUAGGUCCUAAACCUAUCUAUAUUGGAAAUAAUACCAUCCAUUGAAUGAUACAGUUCUGUCAUCUGGAACCAAUUGACAAGGGUUGGGGGAGAGGUAGAUUUUUAUCACACAGGGAUUAAGGUGUUAGCAGCACUGUUAUUGAUAUGUGAUAUUUAAAUAAAAAUAUAUACAGAAACAUAGGCAUAGUAAUUAAAUUCAUGAGCCAAAACUCAGGCCCAUCAGGAACAUCCGGGCGCAAAAUUCCCCAUGUGAUUGAAAUCACUCCAUCCCAGAAGGGCCUAAGAACUGCUCAUGACCACGAUAUGUGAAGGGGAGUAACCAGUUCCUACAAUAUCGACAGUAUCACAACACGCCAAGAUGCCCUGAUAAUUUUUAAGACAAUAUUGAUGGGGAUCGAUACCAGCGAGAAAUAACCUUGAAGUUAAUAUGUUGGUGGCACUACUCCAUGACGUCUCAAAAAUAGACGUCCGUUGGGCAUCACUAAUAACUGUACCAAAGCCCCUCUCUCAUUUCUCAGUAAUGUUCGGCAAUGUAGAAAGUCUUAAUAGUUUUUAAAUGGUGGAUACCACAUGAGUUGGGUAGGCUGUGGAUGCCACCAAAUGUUCAAAGGCUAAUAAACUAUGAGUCCCUGCAGAGAAAAGGGUCCUAAAUUGUAAAAAAUGUUUGAUCUGGAUAUAUCGCCAUGUCUCAUUAUUGGGUAACUGCCAUUGCGCUUGGAUAUUGGUAAAAGACAUCACUUCCGAAGUGUCCAGCAACUGUCCGAUCCUAGAUAUCCUUACCUGUGAAAAGCCAAUUUAGAGACCCCAGGUGACAUAUGGUUAUUGAAUAAGGGAGUUAGUGGGAAUUGAGCCGGGGAGACAUCCUCACCCCUAACUCAUUUCAAAGUCCCCAAUGUGGGCCCUA